rnacentral:rRNA from 1 species
GUUGUAUGGUUAAGUAAUUAAGCGUACACGGUGGAUGCCUUGGCAGUCAGAGGCGAUGAAAGACGUAUUAACUUGCGAUAAGCCCAGAUUAGGUAGUAAAAACCAUUUGAGUCUGGGAUUUCUGAAUGGGGAAACCCACGUGCAUAAGCACGUAUCACUACAUGAAUACAUAGUGUAGUGAGGCGAACCGGGAGAACUGAAACAUCU